rnacentral:rRNA from 1 species
GACGAACGCUGGCGGCGUGCCUAAUACAUGCAAGUCGAGCGGACCAAUUAGAAAGCUUGCUUUUUAAUUGGUUAGCGGCGGACGGGUGAGUAACACGUGGGUAACCUGCCCUAUAGACCGGGAUAACUCGCGGAAACGCGUGCUAAUACCGGAUAACACACCGAAGCGCAUGCUUCGGUGUUGAAAGAUGGUUCUGCUAUCACUAUAGGAUGGGCCCGCGGCGCAUUAGCUAGUUGGUGGGGUAACGGCCUACCAAGGCGACGAUGCGUAGCCGACCUGAGAGGGUGAUCGGCCACACUGGGACUGAGACACGGCCCAGACUCCUACGGGGGGCAGCAGUGGGGAAUCUUGCACAAUGGGCGAAAGCCUGAUGCAGCGACGCCGCGUGAGCGAAGAAGGCCUCGGGUUGUAAAGCUCUGUCUGGAGGGACGAAGAAAGUGACGGUACCUCCGGAGGAGCCACGGCUAACUACGUG